rnacentral:rRNA from 1 species
GACGAACCGUGCGAACGUUGUUCGGAAUCACUGGGCUUAAAGGGCGCGUAGGCGGGCUGCCAAGUCAGGGGUGAAAGCCCACGGCUCAACCGUGGAAGUGCCUUCGAUACUGGCGGUCUCGAGGGAAGUAGGGGCGUGCGGAACCUCCGGUGGAGCGGUGAAAUGACGUAGAUAUACGGAAGGAACACCGGUGGCGAAAGCGGCGCGCUGGACUUCUACUGACGCUGAGGCGCGAAAGCCAGGGGAGCAAAGCGGG